GCCAGGCAUGGUGGCUCAUGCCUGUAAUCCCAGCACUUUGGGAGGCCGAGGUGGGUGGAUCACCUGAGGUCAGGAGUUCAAGACCAGCCUGGCCAACAUGGUGAAACCCCAUCUCAA
rnacentral:SRP_RNA from 1 species